UGCUCCAUCGGAAGCUUUGGCAUGGA
rnacentral:piRNA from 1 species